UCUCUCUCCUUUCACGCGAAUCACAAGUUCAUGACCGCUGCGACCGCGUUCGCCCUAGGUCUCCUCGCCGCCAUGACGGUUUCCCCAUGUCUGAGGCUUCACUCAUAGACAUCUCCCUCCCGUCCGCCUCCUCCUCAUCCGAUCUGUCGCAUCACUGGGAAGAUUCUAUUUGGGACCGCAGUGUCAACGUACCAGGUGCGCAUGAAUAUCGAUGCCGGGAGGCCGAGGGCCUUCAUACAAAUUCCAGAUACUACUAUGUCGGUGGAGAUGAGAAGGCAGUGCAAGACGCAUCCCUAGAAGCUCCUUUUCAGCGGAUGCGGCGGCGAGAAGCGUCCAUAUUUCCGUGUCCACCUCCUUCCUCUGGUGGGUGCCUUAGGUGUCUUCUCUGCCCUGCCAAAGCCCAGAUCUGGCCGUGGUUGCCACUGGUCUUCCUUUUGAGAGACGAGACUGGAAGAAGUUGAUUCAUGCAAUAAGAAUCUUCCAAAGGCUCCGAGGUUAAUUUUUGUUAUGCGAUCUCUUAUGUGGUUAUGACUGAAUUUUCACAACAGUUACUUUUGUAAUUCAUGAUGUCAAGGUUUCCCCCAUAGCGAUGAAGAAAAACUUAACAAUCAGCAUUAAUCAAUGUUCUACCUGCACUUGCAUACUUACCAUCUUUGAUUGUCUGAACGAUAAGAUGAAAACUGUGUGAUGGGGCACAAUCAAGAUACCAUCUCUUGUGCAUUUUCUGUAGUGUAUUAGCAUAUAAAACCUCUUACGUCACGACGAACUCUAAAACAAUGAAUUGCGGCCCUGCUCUGUUCCGACUUCGCCGCCUGACCAUGGCCUCGGAUUGCAUCGGCGGCUGCGCUAGGUUUGCACGGACGAGGCGUACAACGCCUCUGUGGACCGUUCGGCCGCACGGACAUCAUUUGGUUGCAUGGACGCUAGCGGCACAGCCGGAUGGGGCACAUACGCGAGCAGCACGGCCGGAUGGGGUGUGGCGGCCAACAGCCAUGAAGUUCAAUCGCAAACGAUGAUUGAUUGAGAGGUUAAUUGGCCAUUAAUGCCAAUUGAUGCUCCGGUCAGGUCAGUUUCAUCGCCCAUUCAUAUUCAUGUCAAUUGAUUAAUUGAGAGGUUAAUCCUGCAUUCCAAAUGAUUAAUUGAGAGGUUAAUUGUGUCUUCAUAUAUUUAUGCGUGCCUAUAAAAUCCCAACCUUGCCGCUGCCCCUUUCCUACUUUGCUCAUUUUUGCAAACCAAUCUCCAGUACAAAAGCGAUGGGUGAUGCUUAGGUUCCACCUCUGUUUGGUUUCAAGGUGAUGUGCUGGUUCCAAUUCUCAGUUGUUCUCUACAUAUAUAUACUGAUAUGUUCUCUGUCUAAUUCUCAAUUUGAAAUGAUUACAGCUUCUCUCCAAGUAGGAAUUUUAGCUACGGACUGGUUGGUUUCUUUGGUUCUUUGAGCUGAUCCAAUGGCAAUUUUAGACGCCUGAUGUUAAGUCGGGCCCAGUGGGCUCUCUGUUGACUGUUGUAGCACUCUCCGUCUGGCAUUAAACCACGCCGCUCCUCCGUCCUUUCGUUAGCAAACCCUCUUGUGGCGUCCGAGGCAGGACGGGCACGGCGGCGCCCGUCCUGCGCCCCUGACCUCGAACAGCGGAGGCAACUGUGACUUGCCAGCUUGCCUUGUGUCCUGAUCAGUUCGUCUCAAUCAAUCUCCCUUCCUGUAACACAGGUGGUUGCCAUUGUUUGCUGGGGGUGUGCCGUGACCAUACAUGCCGGUUGACGUUGACGGCGUGCUUCCUUCCAGUAGCACUUCUCCUCAUAUUGAUCGGUAAGUUCUCCUCAUCGGAACCAUUAUGUUUGUUUUUCAUUUUGUACUACUGCCGAUAGACACUUCUUUUUUGAUAUGUGCAGCAGUUAUCCAAUAAAAUAUCUUGUUUGAUCAUGUCACCUGCUACAGAUCAGCAUAUGUACAUGAAGUCAAUUGUCUAGAGCACUUGACCUUUGUUUAAUUGAACAUCUGAAUUGGCAACUAAGUGAAUGCAUACGUUCAACCACAAAUUAAACACCUCUAAUGAUUCAGAGUAUUUGCUCAGUUCCUAAGAUGGAAAAACCUAGGUAUAAUCGCCCAUGUUGUUUGCUUACACAUCUUUCUUUUUUCCUUUAUACCACCUAUUCAGUUCAUUGUAUCUGAAUAUUAUUCGAAUAAUGUUGAGCCGGUGCAGGUUAUAUGGAUUUGUGAUUAGCUCUUCUCAAAAUCUAUGAACCUAGGCUUUGGAAAUACACAUGUUGUCUUGACUAUUCCUAGGUGCCCGCCUAUUUUACCAUUUGAUGAUCACAAUUACUAUUAUCAUAGUUGCUGUAAGAUGAGUUAUAAACAUAUGGCACCUACAUAUAUUAUGAUGUGUGAUUUGAUAUAUAUUGCAAAGAAAUAACAAUGCCUACUUGUUCUGGAUAUAAUUUUGUAUCAGUUCACAGCUGAUCGUACAUAUUUAUUUGUUAACAUAAGAAAUCUUUGGCUUCUCCUCAUUAUACCAUUUUUAUUUGUACAUAAGAAACCUAUGACUUCUCCAACCACUGAGUACUGAAGUUUCUAUAUGUCUGGAUGGUCAAUCAAUUUGUUACCAUAUAGUUGAGCACUUGAGCAGUCUGCCAAUAUACGAUUAUAAUUUUACUGGUAGGAAGCUAAACAAGAAAAUAUAAUUAACUUUGUUAGGUACGUGGAGCAAUACUAACUCCUAUAAAUCAUGUUUUAGUAUUGUACUAGAAUUUACGAAGAUUUGUAAUUUUGUUCCAUGAUACAUGUUAUUGCAUGCCCACAUUAUUUUUCUCCAGGUAUUUUUGGAUGCUUAAAAAAUUACCUCUCAAUGGUUUAUUGCACCAGAGAUUUUAUUUUGAGGCAUGCCACAUUUGAGUUUAACACAAUAGAGAAUAUUUUAAUUCACACAAAAAGGGAAACAACAGCUACAUGGGCCAGCCGUAUAGUGGUUUGCAUGUGCAUUAUAGCGACAAUACGUCAUAAAAGGCGAUGAAUGGGAUUUUUCGCCCUCGCUGGCAUAUUGUUUUUUCCUCCGGCAAUCAAGCCAAUUCUGCUAGGUUGAAGGCGAGAUGGCUGGUGUUCCUGGUAUGGACUACUCUGAAAGCCCAAGCCAGUCUUCAGCAGGGUUUUUCCUCUCAGAAAUGUAGUUUUUUCUAUAAGAAUAGAUACUGAAUCCCGAAUAUUUUGGUUGAUGUGCAGUGAAAGUACCGAUAUUCACUAACUUUUCUGAUCCAGCCCAUUGAAGUCUUCUAUGUAAUGCACUGAGCCAUUGGCAGUGUUGAAAUUGGAGUAAAGAACAACGUUGAAAUUGCUCUGAUUAUUACUGAAUUAUGUUGUAUUCCUAAACUUGUUAGAGGGUGACAACUUAGAAGUUUCAGGUCUCAUUUGUCCAUUUUCAUUUAGUCAUUUUAAUUUUAACUUUGAGAGGGCGCCAUGAUCUUAUUAGGAAUAUCAGCUUAUUUUGCAUGAUUAAUUGAUGUUUUUUACAUUCAUAUUUUGCAGCAUUUUGCUUGGGGUGCUCAUGCCUUUUGCCAUGCGCAGAGAUCAAAUCUGUUACAGGCACAUGCCAACAGAAAUAUCGUUAGCAAGACACGUAAGUAGGGGAUUAUGCAAAAGAAUAGUAAAACGUUUGUUGCAAGAAUUAUAUCCUGCUGAUGUGCUGCGUAUUAAAUUGUUUUUCUGCCUCUGAAAUAUUUCCUGCGUUAUUUCAGUCAAACACUCCCAAAGGAAAUUUAGGCUCAAUUGUAUUGUAUUGAGACACACAUAUUUCGUAGACUGUUAUAGCAAGAUUUAGAGAAAACAUUGGUGUGUCAAAUAUUCAUGAUAUUCCUUCAGUCAAUACUUACCCAUGUACAUGGCUCUGGUUUCCUAUAUAAAUA